rnacentral:lncRNA from 1 species
AGGUUACCUUUGCCUCUUCUUGCUGUCUGCUUCUUUGCCUGUGGUUAAUAGUUCUUCUUUCUGCAAUUGCUAUGAGAUCUCGACGUAUGGUUAGUAAUUCUACUUUGUGCAAUUGGUAUGAGAUCUCGACGUAUUGUUAGUAAUUCUACUCUGUGCGAUUGCUUUGAGAUAUCUGCAAGAAGUAGCUCUUGUACUGAAUGAAACCAAGAAAUGGAGGUUAGAGACAUAAGCAGUACCUAUUUAGGAUCAGAGGCAUGCAUCUGAGUAGAUAAGGCACUGGGGGCAUCUAGUCGGUAGACCAAGCAUAAUUUAUCAAUAUAAUUUAACAUCUUAUUCGUUACUGAAUCUCAUCAUGUGGAGACACCUCCAUUUAGCAACCGGGAAUGCUGCCAAUGCUGGUUUGUGAUUGUAGCCAACGGUUCACUAUGUUAUUCUGAAAAUGACACAAGAUAUUCUAGCUCUUGUAUUCAGGCCACUGUGAUCGACAGUAGGCCAAAUUUGAAUGGGGCGGUGUAGCUAUGUAGGUCUCUAUCCAAGCAGAAAACAUAAUAAUGGGUGUAAUUGCAGCCACUUUGAGCAAAAUUGGUGUUAGUGCUAAUCUUAUUCAGAUGAUGGAUGGCCAGAGAGUUGCAUGGAUUUUCCUGGCCAACUUAAAACUUAACAUCCUAACAUCACUUUGCAACAGCCAUAUGAAUCAAAGGGAGAGAAUCUGUUUCCUAGCAGAAGGUCCACCGGAUAUACCACAUUCACCAAACUAUAGAUGUUUAUAGCCCAUUCUUGUUUAUUCCCGAGUUGCUGCUAUUAUCAAGGAAGCGCGCAAGUCCAGUAUCUUUUAGGGACAAUUGCCCAAGUUAUGUAUCACUGUGUUUGGAGAACUUUCUGAAUGUACAACUCAUACUUCCCACUUUACCAAUUAACUACCUAAAGACUGCGGUGUUUCCCUAUUGUUUGAAAGUGGUACGUGUUUCUGUUCUUCCAUAAAAACUGUUUAGUGAGCUGACAUCACUUGUGGGGUUUACAUAAAAAAACUUCAACUGGGGUAUGGGAACGAGACAACUGACUGUACUAGUAUUUUGAGAGUCUUGCUCCAGUCAACGGGAUUGUACAUUACAUUGACCUCUCCUUGGGAGUAUUCAGCUAUCUAUCAUGUCUUCUAGGCAUAUUUAACCUGUGUUCACCAAAGGUUCUUCUAAAAUUACAUGCCUUACAUAUGUUAAGACAUGAAGUUAAGCGUUCAAAUAAGGUUUGAUCAUUAUCAAUUUUCUUUAGGACAGUUCUCUUGGAAAAGAAACUUGACCAUGUAGCUGUUCACAGGUUUUUAACUGGUUUCUGGGCUCCCAACAGUACCUUUCCAAACUCUGUUAUAUUUUUCUUGAAGAACACAUUGCUCUUAUAUCUUUCAUUCUUUGUAAUACCUGUAAAUUUAGGCACAACUAAUUUACUAUGGUCUCAGAUGUGCUGAUUUAUAACCAUUGAAGACUUAGCCGUAUGAAUUGUGUUCUAUUUCCUGUGGACUUGGCAUCUUAUAGAUCUAGAAAGUUCAGCUAUCUAUCAUGUCUUCUAGGCAUAUUUAACCUGUGUUCACCAAAGGUUCUUCUAAAAUUACAUGCCUUACAUACGUUAAGACAUGAAGUUAAGCGUUCAAAUAGGGUUUGAUCAUUAUCAAUUUUCUUUAGGACAGUUCUCCUGGAAAAGAAACUUGACCAUGUAGCUGUUCACAGGUUUUUAACUGGUUUCUGGGCUCCCAACAGUACCUUUCCAAAUUCUGUUGUAUUUUUCUUGAAGAACACAUUGCUCUUAUAUCUUUCAUUCUUUGUAAUACCUGUAAAUUUAGGCACAACUAAUUUACUAUGGUCUCAGAUGUGCUGAUGCAUAACCAUUGAAGACUUAGCCGUAUGAAUUGUGUUCUAUUUCCUGUGGACUUGGCAUCUUAUAGAUCUAGAAAGUUCAGCUAUCUAUCAUGUCUUCUAGGCAUAUUUAACCUGUGUUCACCAAAGGUUCUUCUAAAAUUACAUGCCUUACAUACGUUAAGACAUGAAGUUAAGCGUUCAAAUAAGGUUUGAUCAUUAUCAAUUUUCUUUAGGACAGUUCUCCUGGAAAAGAAACUUGACCAUGUAGCUGUUCACAGGUUUUUAACUGGUUUCUGGGCUCCCAACAGUACCUUUCCAAAUUCUGUUAUAUUUUUCUUGAAGAACACAUUGCUCUUAUAUCUUUCAUUCUUUGUAAUACCUGUAAAUUUAGGCACAACUAAUUUACUAUGGUCUCAGAUGUGCUGAUGCAUAACCAUUGAAGACUUAGCCGUAUGAAUUGUGUUCUAUUUCCUGUGGACUUGGCAUCUUAUAGAUCUAGAAAGUUCUUGUGUUGUGAUGUUAAUCGACUGGGAUUGUUUUUUUAACGGUGAUCGACUGGGAUUGUUAACGGGAUAAUAUAUCAACCAGCAACAAAGCUGAGAUCUAUGCAUUUCUGGUGCUUGUAGCUUUGUUUCUUGCCGGUAAUUUUUCUGUUACACUGUUGCCAUGCUUGCUCAUUGAGAUUUUAAAUAGAUGGAAUAGAGUAGUUACAUUGUAAAUAUGUAAUCCUCUUCAAGGUUUACAUGUAUGGACAAUGCGCUCUGAAUGUUCAGCCAUAAUGCAUAAUGCAUUUACUGCACUAAUCACAGUCUGUAAAGUGGAAGUGAUCAAGUGAGAUGCAUGACUAAUAAUUUAUUUGAGUAGCCUUCUAUAAUGUUCAUCAGAAGGUUCAUAUAUUUCUUUUGUGUUGUUGGUUCUGUGCCUUGACCCUAUUCUUACUUAAAUUAUUUAUUUGCUGAUUGCAUCUUCUGUGCAAACACCAAUGUAUAUGGAUACAGGUUCUACAAUGCACCUGAUAUGAGUAUUGAUAUCUACAGGGAAUUUGUGCUUCAAUUUUCGAUCUAGCUUCUAUUUGAUUGCUCUGAGGGAAUUUUCAUAAUGUGACAAUGUUGGAAGUUUUAUUGAUACAUUACAAUAAGAGUGUAAUGCAUGCUUUGUUAUUGAUACAUUACAAUAAGAGUGUAAUUCAUAAUGUGACAAUGCUGUGUACUUUUUAUAUUUGCUUGUUAAAUAGGAGUGAGUACACAUAGAAAGUAGUUAGUCAGCUAAAGCUCUUCUGUCCUUGGUAUGUGCUGCUCUUAGUAAAUAUGUGCAGCUUAUCUGUCAUUGCCUCCUUGGUAUGUGGCUGUUAGGACUUGGAUACUUAAGUCAAUUGACUAUUGGCAGUUUUGUCAUGAACUAGUUAAUAGUUUGGAUGGGCUUUAGUACUACCUCUUUGUCAUUUUCAGUUUUUUUUUCUUUCCCCAUAAAUAAUUAACACGCAAAAGUGUCCAGGAAUGCAUACUCUUCUAUCCAUCUGGAUAGCAGAGGUGAAAAAGAAGAACACCAUUUUACCCCGAAGUAGUCCAUAAUGAACAACUUCACAUGUCACCACUGCCAUCUUUUGUGCUGCUCCACUGUUCACAUAUCUGCAUAUAUCACAAGGAAAUCCUACUUGUAUGACUAUAUGUUCACAAAUACAACUUGUGAACGCUUCUAUUAUCUUGUCGUGAAAAUAACAUUUGAAGUGCAGUGAAGUGCAUCAAAUAUUAUCUCUUUGGAUUAAACUCUGAAUGAAAAUGACUGUAUAUCACUCAGAGUUUAAUCCAAAGAGAUAAUGUCUGCUGCCACAUUUUCGCUUAGUUGGAUACUGCCCCAUGCCGUAACCAUUAGUAGUAAACUGUGAAUUAUUAAUAUGGUCAGUUUACUUUUAUGUUGUCAUAUGAUUCUGCCGGCUUCUUUUAAUUCCUAAUCUGUCUGAUAG